UACGUAGGGUGCAAGCGUUAAUCGGAAUUACUGGGCGUAAAGCGUGCGCAGGCGGUUUUGUAAGUCUGAUGUGAAAUCCCCGGGCUCAACCUGGGAAUUGCAUUGGAGACUGCAAGGCUAGAAUUUGGCAGAGGGGGGUAGAAUUCCACGUGUAGCAGUGAAAUGCGUAGAGAUGUGGAGGAACACCGAUGGCGAAGGCAGCCCCCUGGGUCAAGAUUGACGCUCAUGCACGAAAGCGUGGGGAGCAAACAGG
rnacentral:rRNA from 1 species